CAGUCCCACCCGGGACAUAAAAAACCCACAUCUGUCUCUGCCGCAGCCUGAUGCCGUGUGGGAGCCCCGGCACCCCUUACAAACCCAUUUUCCACAAACAUAAGGUGCUACCGUCACUAUCAUCCUCUCAAGUACAAUAAAGUACAAAGAUCUUUGCCUCCUCUUGGCCAGAGCUCUGAAUCACAGACACACCCCGGACCGGCCCCUAUCUUUAACACCGGGCUGCCCAAACAGCCAUUUCUCCACCAAAACCACACUCGCGGAGGAUCAGGAGAGACAAGAGGCCCCAGCAGCGAAGUUCCUAAACUGCAGGAGAACAGAGAGGGACGAAGUAGCAGCAUCUGCUCUGAGCCGGGGGCUGCACCAGAGACCGCUCGAGGUCCCUUCCAGUCCCCGUUAUUCUGCGUUUUUAAUGAUUCAGAGGAACAUCUCACCCUCAUCCCACCCGCCACAGCCCACACAUUUCACAGAGACAAGGAACAAUAACAUCCUCUGACGCUGAACCCAAAGAAACCGAACAAAACAGAGACGAGAGAUCAGAAACCCGGCACAAAUCGCGAUAAUCAUUUGUCAACAAGACCCCACGGGGCCUGGGGCGUUCGGGAAGAGCCAAAGCAACGCAGUCACCUAUAAAAGCCCUUAAAACACAUCCCUGCCGUGGCUGGGAGCUUUGGGGACUCCUCUCCAAAAAUAAAAGCAACUGAGGGUGGAAUAA